UUUUUGUGGACCUGAAUUUGCCUCAUUGAAAGUGGGUAGUCAAUGGUUGGGUCGAUGUGUACGCCACGUGUGAUCCACAUUUACUUUUUCUUAGUCUCUUCCUUACACGUGUCUGCCUCAUAGUCUGAAUCGUGUCCGCCACCGCCCCAAAUAUAUCGAUUGGUGUCACCGCCUUCUCUUUCAAGGUACCCCCUCAUAUGCUCUCUAUCUCUGUUAUUCUCCCGUCGUUCCCCUAAAAUGUGACCGACUCGAUCACCAUUAUCAUCCCUUAAUCGGUUGUAUCUCCUGAAUCAGCAAACCCAUUACCUUUUAUCUAAAAUCUCCACAUCCAAGAAGAAUCAGUUCUCUGCCCCUCCUCCUUCUCUCUUCUGUUAUCGUUCACUUCACCAUCGUAUUGCAUUACGAUUUGGUUAGUCAACUCCUGAACUAAUUUUCUUGGUUUUAAUAUGAUUGAUUUACUCACUAUUGAUCGCAAUAUCAUCAACGUUUCGUCUUACGUUACAAAUUCUUAAACUUCUUCAAAAUUUUAGGGUAUCCGCUAAUUCUCACUUUGUAUCUAUUUGGAUUUGCUUCGUUCGCGACCCAUUGUUACCAGAAAUUGAGAGGGAAGGGGAAAGACGAACUGAGAGAUUGAGGGUGAGUCGAACAACAACUGGAAGUAGGAGGUGCGUGGUUUUCUGGAUUAGCGCCUUCUAACACCACCGAAUCACCAAACUUGGUCCGCCCUCUAACAAUCGAUUCACCAAACCAUUUUAGUUCUGACAACCAAACCUUCACUUCACUUUGUAAAUCAUGUAUGUCUUUUUGCCUUCUGAAUUCUCCGUGACUUCCUGUAAGUUGAAAAAAUGAUGAUCUUUAUAGGUAUGAACCUUUUCUCCAUAUUAGUUAUUUUUAUACUUUUGAACACCUUAAAUUUGUUUUUUUUCUUCUUAGGUUAGUUAGAAGUAAUGAAUUAUGUUUACAAUUUUAUUAUGGAUACAAUGCACAUCGGGUGCUCGACAAAAUGUCUCAAAGAAUGUUCAAAUGUUCUUUUGUCAUGGAUUUCUAUAGAAGUCACGUAUAUUUAACACCUCUUUUAAAUAUUUUUUUCAUUGAUUAUUUCUUAUAUAUCCAACCAUUAAGAAUCAACAAAUUUCAGAUGUUCUUCACAACAUUGUUUUUUCUCUCCAACUACACCAAUGAAGUGUGGAAAUCAGGAAUCCAAAGCUUUUUCCGAAGAAGCUGGACCACCGGAGUUGGCUUUGGUGGGAGAAGUCGUCGGAAACUAUAAGCCUUUAAACCUUGGAUUUGGACCAUGGAGUAUUAGGGAAUAUAUUUGUGGUGUCCAGCGCAUGAUUCAGAGGUCUCUAAAAAGUAUUGUGCAAAGAUCACGUGAUACAAAUCCAAUUUGCAUUCAUCAUAAAUGGUUACAAUUUUCUACAGUUUUCUUGCAAAAAGAUGAGGUGAUAAAAUUUUUAUUUGUAUAUUCAUAUACUAUAAGUGGUUACAGUUUUCUAUAGGUCUAAUGCAAUUUUUACAAUAAAGUGUAGUUUUUCGUUUUUCAAUCAUGAAUACAAAGAAAUUAAGCCCAAAUUGAUCAAUCUUAAUCUUUAUUUGUCCCUCUUCAGAAUGUGUUUUCCAGUGUCUUUUUGUAUUGUUAAUGAUAAAGUUAAUUUGUGUUGAUUACGUAUUUAAUAACACAGGAAGUGAAGGCCAGACAUAGAAGAGUUACAUACGAUGAUCUCUAUAAGGUGAUUGUUUAUAUACCAAUUACAACUCUUUCUUACAUGUUGGACCUUUUCGGCUCUUAAUACUAAUAACUUUGUUUUGGUGGUUAAAUUUUACACGUUUUGUAUUUUGAUAGAAUUGUAACAAAUGAAAAUUCAAUAACCUGCGCUUAUUGUUAUCCUUGCACAUUUUUUUCGAUAUGAUUUCUAGCAAAGGUCAUUGCUUCACUAUAAAUUCCCAAAAUUAUGUUGAAAUGUUCACCUUGUUAGAGUUGUUGCAAUCGAAUUAACAGGAGGACCCACUCUUGAGUUCGAAACUGGAAGGAAGGUAUCAUUACAAUAUAAUCACUUUUUUUUUAAUAUUAUGUCUUUCAUGUAGUCAACAAUUUUACAUAUAAUUUUAUUUAUUAAUACCUAUAUAUAACUUUAACAAAUUACAUGUUCAACAAUCUAUUUGUUAUCUUCAGGAUCAACUUUUUAUCUAAAUCCAAAUAUUAUGAAACUAAAAUUUAACCAUUUUUAUGUAUGUAAAAAUCGAUCAUUACCAUCACUAUCAAUCAAAAAUUAUUUAGUUUAGAUAAAUUAGAUGCUGAUUGUUCAGAUAGAAUAGAAAGUUAGACAUCCUUUUUUAAAUAUAUUGUAGAAAAUUGGAUAUUGCUUUAUAUGAUAUAUUAUAGUUUAUAUAAGAAAUUCAUGAAAUUAUAUCAUUGAUCCAAACGGGCAAUCAGUUUCCAUUGCAGGUUCCUAUUGCUUCAUUAGGCACUGAUUCGAUUUUUGAUUUUUCAGUUUCUCAUAGCUGUGUGUUUAUUAUUGUGUUCAGGUUCUGUUGGAUUAAUCGGACCUUUACAGGUAGGGGUACAACUUGGAAAAAUGAACAUUGCGGCUUGGACAAGUAAAGAAGACACGGAAAAGAAGGCGAUGGAGUGCACCACGGACAUUUUGGCUGAGGAGGCGUUCAGAGUUGAGUUUGAGAAACGGGUGGUUGCGUGAGAAUAUGCCGAGAAUCUUAACUUAAUGCAAAAGAUAAAAAUUCAAGCAUGGGAAAGUCACCAGAAAGCAAAACUUGAAACAGAAAUGAGAAGAACAUAGGUGAAUUUGGAGGUUGCAAUGUCGUGGUAGAAAGCGGAAGGGAAAAAAAUGAAACACAUGCUCCUUCAAGAACCCAACUGUUGGAAAAUAUUUUUGUUGAUCCAACAGGCGUUGGAAUUGCACCUGAUGACAAUUACAUUUACAUGUGUGAGGACCUUUACCCAAAGAAAAUGUUGUAAUUCAUUUCAAAUUGCUACUAUUUAAACAAGGUUAACUGCUUACUAAACCAAAAAAAACCUCCGUCCCAUGCGGAGCGUGGGCAUACCUACUAGUUAUAAUAUAAAGUUUUGUGUGAACAUAAAGAUAAUUGGAGGCUUUUACAAAAACAUUUGAUGUA